AUUCAUAUAGUUUAUCAAAACAUUUUAUUUUCAUUAAAAAAAAGAAUUAGUCUAUUCUGUGAGUA
rnacentral:tRNA from 1 species